GACGAACGCUGGCGGCGGGCUUAACACAUGCAAGUCGAACGGAAAGGCCCUGCUUGUGUGGGGUGCUCGAGUGGCGAACGGGUGAGUAACACGUGAGUAACCUGCCCUGGACUUUGGGAUAACUGCAGGAAACUGGGGCUAAUACCGGAUAGGAGCUCCUGCUGCAGGGGGGGGGUUGGAAAGUUUCGGCGGUUGGGGAUGGACUCGCGGCUUAUCAGCUUGUUGGUGGGGUAGUGGCUUACCAAGGCUUUGACGGGUGGCCGGCCUGAGAGGGUGACCGGCCACAUUGGGACUGCGAUACGGCCCAGACUCCUACGGGAGGCAGCAGUGGGGAAUAUUGCACAAUGGGCGGAAGCCUGAUGCAGCAACGCCGCGUGCGGGAUGACGGCCUUCGGGUUGUAAACCGCUUUCGCCUGUGACGAAGCGUGAGUGACGGUAAUGGGUAAAGAAGCACCGGCUAACUACGUG
rnacentral:rRNA from 1 species